GUGAUAAUUAACUGCAACCAAAAGGAGUAAUAUUCUAACGUUGAGCAAAAAUAUACAAUGCUUCGUAGAUUAUUACUCCCAAUGGAAGCAGUGAGAUAGCAGUAU